GACGAACGCUGGCGGCGUGCCUAAUACAUGCAGGUAGAACGCUGAAGAGAGGAGCUUACUCUUCUUGGAUGAGUUGCGAACGGGUGAGUAACGCGUAGGUAACCUGCCUUGUAGCGGGGGAUAACUAUUGGAAACGAUAGCUAAUACCGCAUAACAAUGGAUGACACAUGUCAUUUAUUUGAAAGGGGCAAUUGCUCCACUACAAGAUGGACCUGCGCUGUAUUAGCUAGUAGGUGAGGUAAUGGCUCACCUAGGCGACGAUACAUAGCCGACCUGAGAGGGUGAUCGGCCACACUGGGACUGAGACACGGCCCAGACUCCUACGGGAGGCAGCAGUAGGGAAUCUUCGGCAAUGGGGGCAACCCUGACCGAGCAACGCCGCGUGAGUGAAGAAGGUUUUCGGAUCGUAAAGCUCUGUUGUAAGUCAAGAACGGGUGUGAGAGUGGAAAGUUCACACUGUGACGGUAGCUUACCAGAAAGGGACGGCUAACUACGUG
rnacentral:rRNA from 1 species